UGUCAUUGUUGGUCACUUCAAUCUUGUGAUUGUGUGCACCUGACCUCAUGUGUUUCACCUGGGUUCAGUUAUUCUGUCUGUGUCAGGUCGUCUCUUCACUUUGGUUCUGUUCAGUCCAGCUCCUGUGUCUCUGUUUUGAGUUUCAGCUCUUGGAUCACCUGAGUUCUCUAACCAGCCUUCUGAGUAUUUUGACCCGACAACUGAUGAACUUCCUUCUAUGAAACUGCAGUUCAUGCCUCCGCCACUGAGGGUGCAGAGAGGGACAUUGCACUCGCAAUCAUGGGGAUAUACACUAUCCGAAGAGAUGGAGAUGUGGAGCCAGAGGACGUGGGAAUCGUGAUUGAAGGCAUCAAAGUCAUGGACAACUUAGGAAGGGUGAUAAUGGGGUUCAUCAUGCUGUUUGGGCUCAUUAAUGCUUUGAUCUGAGCUUUCCAGACAACCUCAAGUACACUUUCCAGUUUAUUCAGAAAUGAAUUUGAAUGGGCACAAGCUCAAUGCAAAGAUACAGCAGCUGAAAAUAAAGCUUGCAUGAGCGGGAAACACAGCCGACAAAGUUCUGCGACCUCAGUGAUGUUUUCCUGGGUCCGACAUUUUUAAUGACUGGAUUUCCAUAAGCUGGGAGAAGUAUGUUCACAUAAGGAAAUUUUGUCCACGUAACUUCCCCUUUCCAUCUAUGUGACUUUGUCUCUGCUCUACACCACUUUUGUACUGCUGCCUUGUCACCUUCAUGACUCUCAACUCAGGCCAAAUGGACAUAAACACGAUUUUACUGUAGUUUUCUUUGGUUGUGAAUGACCUCUUAAUGCUGCCAGUCACUCUGUUACAGAUUAGAAGCUACAUUUAAAUUACUGCUUUAAUGAGUUAUAAUGAGUUAAAACCGGAUUCUGUUUUUUUACAAAUUUAUUGCCUUGUUGUUUUUGGGACUGGGGGAUUGCUAGGCAUUUAUUUUUCACCAGCUACAGAGCUGGGCAUGAGAGUCAAACUGGUGAAUGGCUAUUUCUGAACAAUUGUGAUCAAUAUUGCUAGAUGCAUGGACCCAAGGGGAGACAUUACUCUGUAAAUUGGCUUCUUUAUGGCUGUAUGGAUGUCAUGUUGAAUAUUAGGAGAACACUGUAGUUUUCUUGGCCUCUUAAUGCUGCAAGUCACUCUGCUACAGAGCUGUUAAGAUUACCAUUUGUUUCCAGUGCACUUCAAAAGG